rnacentral:misc_RNA from 1 species
GAAAUGCGAUAAGUAAUGUGAAUUGCAGAAUUCAGUGAAUCAUCGAAUCUUUGAACGCACCUUGCGCUCCUUGGUAUUCCGAGGAGCAUGCCUGUUUGAGUGUCAUUAAAUUCUCAACCUUGACUUUUUUUGUAAAAAGUUCAAGGCUUGGAUUGUGGGGGUUUUUUUGCGGGCUUCCCCUGGAAGUCGGCUCCCCUUAAAUGCAUUAGUGGAGACUAGUAAUCGUCGCCUUGGUGUGAUAAUUAUCUGCGCUUUGGAUGCAUGAUUGACUCUUGAUGUCUUUGCUCAUUACAGUCCCCCAUUGGACAAACUUUACAUGACUUUUGACCUCAAAUCAGGUAGGACUACCCGCUGAACUUAA